rnacentral:rRNA from 1 species
UAGAGUUUGAUCCUGGCUCAGAUUGAACGCUGGCGGCAGGCCUAACACAUGCAAGUCGAGCGGUAGAGAGAAGCUUGCUUCUCUUGAGAGCGGCGGACGGGUGAGUAAUGCCUAGGAAUCUGCCUGGUAGUGGGGGAUAACGUCCGGAAACGGACGCUAAUACCGCAUACGUCCUACGGGAGAAAGCAGGGGACCUUCGGGCCUUGCGCUAUCAGAUGAGCCUAGGUCGGAUUAGCUAGUUGGUGAGGUAAUGGCUCACCAAGGCGACGAUCCGUAACUGGUCUGAGAGGAUGAUCAGUCACACUGGAACUGAGACACGGUCCAGACUCCUACGGGAGGCAGCAGUGGGGAAUAUUGGACAAUGGGCGAAAGCCUGAUCCAGCCAUGCCGCGUGUGUGAAGAAGGUCUUCGGAUUGUAAAGCACUUUAAGUUGGGAGGAAGGGUACUUACCUAAUACGUGAGUAUUUUGACGUUACCGACAGAAUAAGCACCGGCUAACUCUGUGCCAGCAGCCGCGGUAAUACAGAGGGUGCAAGCGUUAAUCGGAAUUACUGGGCGUAAAGCGCGCGUAGGUGGUUCGUUAAGUUGGAUGUGAAAUCCCCGGGCUCAACCUGGGAACUGCAUCCAAAACUGGCGAGCUAGAGUAUGGUAGAGGGUGGUGGAAUUUCCUGUGUAGCGGUGAAAUGCGUAGAUAUAGGAAGGAACACCAGUGGCGAAGGCGACCACCUGGACUGAUACUGACACUGAGGUG